rnacentral:tRNA from 1 species
AUUCAAAUAGCUUAUAUUAGAGUGUAACACUGAAGAUGUUAAGGAAAUAAUUUUAUUUUUGAAUA